ACCAUGCAUGCUGGAUUUUUAUAGAAGUGUCAUGAAAGUUUUAUACCAAACUUUUUACAGGGAUUAAGUUCAUUUAAGUAUGGGUCGUUUUGUAUUUGAAAUCUGAAAGGAGAAACAGAAAUUACAAGAAGAAGAGGAAGAUUGCGUUCCGAUCAUGGCCUUCUCUUCCUGCCUCUUAUCCAAAUCCUGACAAGGAUCUUAUUGAAAAGCAAGGAAGAAGAAUUGAAUUAGAUUAUUGCGGGGCUCAAGAAAAACUAUGCUUCUUUACAAGAGAAAUUUACGAAAUAAGAGUUGGAUAAGAUGGCUGCAAUGGAAUCUCUCAUUAUGGAAAGAGAGGCUAGACUUGAAAUUGAGCGACGACAAAAUUCCCUCUCAUAUGAGCACAGGAGAGUUCAAAGAGAGCUUUUAAGUGCUACUCAGAAGGUAGGCUCCAUGUGCAAUUGUUCUUGCUAUUUAGGCAAUUUCCUGGAACAUUGAGUAGAAAAACAAAUUAGAAUUUUGUUGGUUUUUUCUUUUAUGAAGUGUAAGCGUUAAUGCAUUUCAUCCUAAUAUGCAACUUAUAUUAGUAUCGCAUUUUGAAAGGUUAGCAUCUCAAGUGAACCAAAUUUACCAUUUUCCAUUUAAAUGAAUUUUAAGAUAA